rnacentral:rRNA from 1 species
GAUGAACGCUGGCGGCGUGCCUAAUACAUGCAAGUCGAGCGAACAGACGAGGAGCUUGCUCCUUUGACGUUAGCGGCGGACGGGUGUGUAACACGUGGAUAACCCACCUAUAUGACGGGGAAAACUUCGGGAAACCGGAGCUAAUACCGGAUAAUCUAUUGAACCGCAUGGUUCAAUAGUGAAAGACGGCUUUGCUGUCAGUUAUAGCUGGUUCCGGGCCGCAUUAGCUAGUUGGUAAGGUAACGGCUUACCAAGGCGACGAUGCGUAGCCGACCUGAGAGGGUGAUCGGCCACACUGGAACUGAGACACGGUCCAGACUCCUACGGGAGGCAGCAGUAGGGAAUCUUCCGCAAUGGGCGAAAGCCUGACGGAGCAACGCCGCGUGAGUGAUGAAGGUCUUCGGAUCGUAAAACUCUUUUAGUAGGGAAGAACCAAUGUGUAAGUAAACAUGCACGUAUUGACGGUACCUAAUCAGAAAGCCACGGCUAACUACGUG